rnacentral:rRNA from 1 species
AUUGAACGCUGGCGGCAGGCCUAACACAUGCAAGUCGAGCGGAUGAAGGGAGCUUGCUCCUGGAUUCAGCGGCGGACGGGUGAGUAAUGCCUAGGAAUCUGCCUGGUAGUGGGGGAUAACGUCCGGAAACGGGCGCUAAUACCGCAUACGUCCUGAGGGAGAAAGUGGGGGAUCUUCGGACCUCACGCUAUCAGAUGAGCCUAGGUCGGAUUAGCUAGUUGGUGGGGUAAAGGCCUACCAAGGCGACGACCCGUAACUGGUCUGAGAGGAUGAUCAGUCACACUGGAACUGAGACACGGUCCAGACUCCUACGGGAGGCAGCAGUGGGGAAUAUUGGACAAUGGGCGAAAGCCUGAUCCAGCCAUGCCGCGUGUGUGAAGAAGGUCUUCGGAUUGUAAAGCACUUUAAGUUGGGAGGAAGGGCAGUAAGUUAAUACCUUGCUGUUUUGACGGUACCAACAGAAUAAGCACCGGCUAACUUCGUG